AGACAAAUCUGAUACAGUUUGGGUGAGAAUUGAAGGAGACAGUGAAAAUAAACUACCCAGAGAAGACGGUAUGAUUCCAUUUGUAUCUGUUGGCACUAAAGAAACCAUUGGAAAUGUGCAAGUUCUUUUAGAGUACCAUAUUGCUUAUCUAAAGGAAGUAGAACAGCUAAGAAUGGAACGCCUACAGAUUGAUGAGCAGUUACAAGAGAUUGGUUCUAGGUCUUAUAGUGGAAGAGGCAGAGGUUGUCAGGGCCCUAAUUACACCUCUAGUUAUGGUACAAAUUCUGAGCUGUCUAAACCCUCUGAAAUAGAAUCUGAGGGUAAAGACAAGCUGAGUGAUUGGUCAUUGGCAGGAGAAGAUGAUCAAGACAGCCGACAUCAGCAUGACAGCAGGAGACACCCAGGAGGAAGAUGCAAAGUGUUUCAGGGGGUCAAGGUCGUGGUGGACCACAUGGUGGCAAAUCCUCCAUCAUUUCUGUGCUCAAAGAUCCAGACAGCAAUCCAUACAGCUUACUUGAUAAUACAGAAUCAGAUCAGACUGCAGACACUGAUGCCAGCGAACCUCAUCACAGUACUAAUUGUCAUACGAGGUCUCGUAGACGAAGGACUGAUGAAGAUGCUGUUCUGAUGGAUGGAAUGACUGAAUCUGAUACAGCUUCAGUUACUGAAAAUGGGCUAGGCAAAAGAUGUGAUUGAAGAGCAUGGUCCUUCAGAAAAGGCAAUAAAUAGCCCAACUAGUGCUUCUGGCAAUGACAUUGCUACAGCAUACUCCGGGAGAAGAAAAGAUUAAUACCUUAAAAGAAGAAAACAGUCAAGAAGCAGCAGUCCUCAAUGGUGUUUCAUAA